CAGCCACUGGCCAUAGGAGGGGAACGUUGGCCAGACUAAUGGCCCAGGAGCAGGAUGACCAGCAGGCCUUAGGGGACUGGGUCAUCCAUCCAUGCAUAGGAGAUGAACCUGGGAGGAACCACAUACUGGGUGGUUGGCAAUGCUGGGACUCAGAGGCCCAGGGCCUGACCUGGACUAGAAAGGCCACCCCCAGGAGGCACUGUCCUGCUGCUCCCCUCUUCCCUGGCAGUGCCUGGCUGUGGUCCUGGCCCACUGGCUGGGGCAAGAAGCCCAGAAUCUCUGCAAACGGCUGCCUGCUGGCCACUCCCCGAUGACAGAUGGCCUUGAGGAGAUACGUAUUAAUAUCCCCACUUUGUAUAUGGGGGAACUGGGACUCGAAGAAAUGAAGAUGCCUAUUUGGGUGAAAUGGAUGAUAAGAGGUGUAAAUAUGGACUGACAUGACAACUGCUUAUCGGAAAUCUGUAACCAGCUCAUGUUGUCCCUCCGCUGCCUGUGGAGACUGUUCUCUCAGUGGCGCUGGAUCUCAACACCACAGCAUCAACCCAGCCCUGAAGCCCAUCAUCUGGGUAUGCCUUGGCAAAGUGGACUGCAGCUUAUUUGUGUGGUCUGAGAGCUAAGAAUGCUGUUGCAAUUUUAAAUGGUUGAAAAAGAAAUCAAAAUAAUAAAAAUAUUUCAUGACACAAGAAAAUUAAAUGAAAUUAAAAUUUUGGUGUCCAUAAGUAGAGUUUUACUGGAGUGCCCACGCCCUUUGCUUCCAUAUUGUCUAUGGCUGCCUUCAUGUCGGCACAGCAGAGGUGAGAGUUGUGACAGAGACCUGCAGUGUCUGCAGAAUUUACUAUCUAGGCCUUGACAGAAAAGGCGUGUCACCCCCCAUUUAGACAGAACUUAACUAG